AGCUCCAAUAGCGUAUAUUAAAGUUGUUGCGGUUAAAAAGCUCGUAGUUGGAUUUCUGUCGGGGGCGGCCGGUCCGCACUAAGUGCGUGUAUCUGGUUUGACCUCGGCAUCUUCUUGGGGAACGCUGCUGCGCUUCGCUGCGUGGCACGGUAUUCAAGACUUUUACUUGAGGAAAUUAGAGUGUUCACGGCAGGCAAUCGCCCUGAAUACAUUAGCAUGGAAUAAUAAUAUAGGACAGCGAUUCUAUUUUGUUGGUUUCUAGAAACGCUGUAAUGAUUAAUAGGGAUAAUU
rnacentral:rRNA from 1 species